CCUACGGGAGGCUGCAGUGAGGAAUAUUGGUCAAUGGGCGAGAGCCUGAACCAGCCAAGUCGCGUGCGGGAUGACGGUCCUAUGGGUUGUAAACCUCUUUUGUCGGGGAACAAAGGCGUCCACGUGUGGACUGAUGAGUGUACCCGAAGAAAAAGCAUCGGCUAAUUCCGUGCCAGCAGCCGCGGUAAUACGGAGGAUGCGAGCGUUAUCCGGAUUUAUUGGGUUUAAAGGGUGCGUAGGCGGACAGUCAAGUCAGCGGUAAAAAUGCGGUGCUCAACGCCGUACAGCGGUUGAAACUGGCAGUCUUGAGUGAGCGGGAAGUAGGCGGAAUGCGUGGUGUAGCGGUGAAAUGCAUAGAUAUCACGCAGAACUCCGAUUGCGAAGGCAGCAUGCCGGCGCCCUACUGACGCUGAGGCACGAAAGCGUGGGUAUCGAACAGGAUUAGAUACCCCUGUAGUC
rnacentral:rRNA from 1 species